CACCCUCCGGGCGUUUGCUCAUGCGCUUGACUGAUCAUUUUUAGCGCGAAAACAUUUAGAAACGUUUUGGCUGGUAAUAGUCAACCAAAUUUGACCCUCGAGAAAGGUCGGAGGUUAAUUCACGUGGACGCGAUGGAUUGGAGCACACAACACGACAUUCUUCGAGAUUCUGCAGUCACAGCUCCACAUGCUUAUACGGUCGUCACUCCUUUCCGUUGCUCUGUUUCGGCCGUGAACUCUGUGAGGAGGUUUCAGCGAAUCGAGUAGUAAAGGCGUGGGCGUGGGAGAGCCGUCCAGGCUUUAAACCAGAGUGGGUAUGUGGGACACCUGCGCAAGCACUGGAGUUUGCCCUGCAGCGCCUGAAAGGACACCCACAGUGUCCUCUCCCAGUGGGUCCCUUGGCCCCUCGAAGCAUACCUCAGGCGGAAUGUGGAUUGCAUGGAGUGAAGUGGUGGAAUUGAGCUACCAAGACACUGGCGCGCAACAAAAGUACCGACUUGUCGCCGCUAGCCUCCCAGGUCACUAGGAAGCAGGCUCUGAGCCAAGGGGAAGGCAGAGGACAGAUAUGGAUGUGUUCCCAAGCUUCCCUGGUGGUUUAUGGCAUUCUCCAAACUCCUCUGCAAGGGCUGUUCCUGACCAAGAAGACCCAAGGAGACCGUCUCUGAAAUUAAGUCCGGAUGAAGUUCUGCUAAUAUUUUGCAGACUCAGGGGGAAGGAACACCUGGGAACAGGAACUUGAAUGGGAGACUUUUUGCUGCCCAGCAUUUUCUGGGGCCUUCUACUAGAAACUUCAGGGGAUGGAUUAACCACAGCGAUCUGUAGGAACUUUGUAUAAGCAUAUACAUAUUUUCCAUGCAAUUACUAAGCUCUUUGUGCCUUUCAUUUUUUCCCUUUAAGUCAGAUCUUUAAACAGCCACUUUGUCUCCCUAACAAGAUAAACCGUAUUAUCAGAACUGAGAGUUUAUACGACUAGCUAAUUUUGUUACAGGGCUCAUUUUAGAGUUCAGUGUAGGCAUGUAAGAGUCUAGUUUGUUGCUGCACCUCUCCCGACACACCUGCUGCUCUCACGAUUAUGAGAUUCAAAACAUGAGUAGCAAUCCUCUCCUUCCGCUUUCUACCAGGAGUACAUACAUGUCAUUUCGAAUUUUACAGAUUCACUUUACAUUUCAGCUCUAGUCUCUAGAUGUUUUUCUAAAUCAGAAAAGAAAGUCAUUUUGUCUUAAGGGAUGCUGCCUGCCUCAGACAAGCAUCUCGCAUGGUACCAUGGCCAGUUCAGGAUGGCCUUGCACUGGCUGAUGCGCACGUCAUUAGAGGUUGUGCAAGAAAUGUCACUUUUGCCUCAGUGUCUGGCACCUCUGACAUCACCGUGGACUCUCUGACCCUCUCCUCUGUGCCUCACCCUUUCCCUUUUUUUCACACAGUUCUUGCCUUGUGCUCUGUUCUUCUUGAUGUUUUGUGUUUUCAGACAGCAAGUCCUGGGAGGCGGUUUUCCUUUCCCUAAACCUGGAGGAUUUUCUCCAGUUUGUUUUGUCUUAGAAAACUUCAGGCCUUCUGCUGUGUUUCGCUUUGAUGGCCUCCUUUGCCACUCAGCACGGAGUGUGUCUGUUGAUCAGCUCUGUUCUGGCUGCUGCAGGUGAGGCUCAAGUAGAGGCCAGCUCCCUUCCUUCUCAUCACAGCUUCCAGACAGGAUCACACCUCCCCUUCCCCUAGCCUCCCAUGUCCCCCGCAGGGUCCCAGAGGUGAGGGGGGAGUGGUCCUGGCUGCACUUGCCCGGUUUCCUGCCCUACAGUUGUGUUUCCUCCUCACUUCCCAUCCCUUCUCUCAUGCGUGCUCCUUUUCUCCCUUGUCUCUACUCCUAAAUCAAGAUGCACUUCUCUCGUCGCCUCUGAAGCAGUGCUUGACACCCUCUCCAGCUCUGCCCUCCUUCCAGCCAAGCGAAGUGCUAAGGUACCCGCACUGCUGUUCUCUUGUUUCCACAGGUGCUAUUGCCAAGCUCAGAAGAGGCAGUUUCUUGUGGGAGUGGAGGCUGGUGAUGGAAUCCCUUGGGGGGGCUGCCUCCCCAGAUUUCCCUCUUUAAUGUCUCCAGCAAACAGGUGGUCACUCUACUGGUAGUAAAUUCCUGGGUAUUUUUACCCAACACCCCAUAAACAAAAUGGCAAUGUUAUUGGACAUGUCAUACAACCAGGCCUAUUGAGUAAUGUCCGCAUUAAUCAAUUUGCCAAAGAAAGCAGGUUGUUAUCUCAGCUUGUUCGGAGAGAGGCUAGCUAUGGGAAGGAGGAAGAACUCAGGCAUCAGGCUUACAAGUACGCGGUCAAGAUUUAAAUGAUACCUAAUCGGUGAUUUGGUGCGCCGUGAAGUGAAUCUUUUCCUACGCAAAACUGCACUGGCAGUACAGUUGAUUCUCUCGUAAUUGCUACAGGAACCUCACUAGAGUGCCUUGGGGAGAGCCUGUUGCCCUGGGACUGAAGUAGCGAGGAGAUAGAACCCAAGAGAGAUGCAAGUUUUAUCAGAUUUGUCUCAAUAUUAAGAAAUGUUGUACUACAAAGAAAUCCUUUGGCUGGAGGAUGACUGAUUCACUUUUUGAUCCAUCCAUUCAUUCAUAAAACACCUUGAGCAGCUCCUUCUCCCCAGGCAUUGGGCUGUAUGCUAGACACACCAAGAUUCACGAGGCAGGGUCUCUGCUCUCAGGGAGCUUACACACUGAUGGGAGAUUCUCGGGCGUACCUCUCUAAGUAUGCGCAGGAUAGUGUGUAAAGUGUGAUAAUAAAGCUACACAUAAAAUACAGAGGGGAUCUAGGGGAAAUCUUUCCUGAAGGGCUUAUUUCUGUGCCAGGUCUCAAGGGAUGAGCACAAGUUUUUCAAGCAGGCAAGAAAAGAAAUGUUUUCAAAGGCAGCCUGGUGUGAAAUUACAAUGGGAAACCACAAAUAAUUUGGUUUGGGUGUAACACAGGCAUCUCAGGAGAUGGGAGGAGCAGUGUCAAGAGCUAAGGCCAAAGACAUACACAGGAGCUAGAUGAUGAAGUGCACUGAAUUCAAGCGGGGACUUAAUUUGAAGCUGCUUGGGAGCCACUGAGAGUUUAAGCAGGAGAGUAACAAUUAAAUCUGGGGGAACUUGGCUCUUUCACAUGCAGUUGGCAGCUCCUCAAUAACUUUUCCUUUAUUUUGUAAUGUUUUAUUAUAUUAUGUCAUGCUUGUAAUAUACGUAUGCUAUACAAUGGUAUGGUAUGUGGGGUUUACCAUUGUAGUCUAAGGGCCUGGCGUCUAGUAUGCUCUUACUAAUACCUGAUGACUGAUAUAGUUUCUGACACAGUCUCUGACCCUUGCUUAGAUGUCGGUGGUACCGGCAGGUGGUACCGGCCACACCUCUGGGCUCCCUUUCCCUCCAGGCUCUUUCUAUCACCCACACGCAACAAGUGACAGAAGAAUGGUUGGGAUGUCUCCAUGGGGGUGCAUUGCUGCUGCAUGACAGUGCCCAAUACAUAUUCCAGAAAUUAUCUUAAUCCCUCCAUCACCCAGAAUUUUCAUUCAACCAAUUGUGACGUCUCUGGGAAAGAACAGUUUCAAAAUGUUAGUGAGACGCGGAACCCACUCUGGAGUGAGCUUUUACUUUCAACUUUCUUGAACUAUGUCCCUUUUGCAAGGUGACAGACUACAAUUUCUCAGUGCCCUUCAUUUUCCCCACGCCAUGCCUGUAACAAAUAUCACCAAGGAGAGAUGGAUGGGCAGAUGGAGUGAAUGUUAGACAAAGAGACUGAAUUUAGAAUCUUCCAUUUAUUCAAUAAAAUUGAAAAUAUGUUAUUUAAGAGAGGUGGAAAAAAACCCUCAAUGUUGUCUACAGAAACUUUCCUUAAACAGAUAGAAUUUCUCUUUUUGAUUUGUAAAAGUAACAACAACAACAAAAAAGUACAUUUUAUUUCAGAAGUAAUACGUGCCCAUGGUAAAACGUUCCAACAGCAAAGAGGCUCAUAAGGUAAAAAGUAAAACCUCUGACUCACUCUCCAGAGUUAACCACUGUAUAACCUUCCAGAAAUGUUGGACACACUACAAGGAGUAUGGGUAUCGCCCUCUCAUUUUUACACAGAUGGUAUUAAAUUACACACACUGGGGCUUCCCUGGUAGUGCAGUGGUUAAGAAUCCGCCUGCCAAUGCAGGGGACACGGGUUCGAGCCCUGGUCCAGGAAGA